ACAGAGGGUGCAAACGUUGUUCGGAAUUACUGGGCGUAAAGCGCGUGUAGGCGGUCGGGCAAGUCGGAUGUGAAAGCCCCGGGCUCAACCUGGGAAGUGCAUUCGAUACUGCUUGGCUAGAGUACUGGAGAGGAUGGUGGAACUCUCGGUGUAGAGGUGAAAUUCGUAGAUAUCGAGAAGAACACCGGCGGCGAAGGCGGCCAUCUGGACAGAUACUGACGCUGAGACGCGAAAGCGUGGGGAGCAAACAGGA
rnacentral:rRNA from 1 species